ACCUAUGAAGGUCAAAGGGGAAGUUAAGAAAAGCUGUAUCGAUUGUUGAGAUCUGGCGACUUGCUUAAAUUUCAUCAGCCUCACUUCUAUGGACUCUCAGGCCUCACGUGUACCAGCUCUCUGCUCUCCUUUGCCUUGGGACGUUCCAUCCCUGGAAGUUUCCCUGCCCACAUCUUUGUAGAGAGUCCAUUCUCCAAGCUUCAGUGUGUCAUCUGUUAGGACUAUGACCCACCUGGUACAUUACCUCAGGGCAUUCAUUUCAGGCUCCUUCUAAGUGGUCAAGAUCUUGCUUUCUUUUGUAUGUUUGCAAAGAAUAAAUAGUACACUUCCUUGAUCCGUGGUUCCUAAAGUGUGAUUCCCAACAAGCAGCAUCAGGAUCACCUGGAAACUUGAUAGAAAUAUAAAUUCUACAGUCCCUCCUUGGAGCUACAGAUUCAGAAAUUCUGAAGUUUAAUUCCAGCAAUUGGUUAUAAUAAGCUCUCUAGGUGAUUCUGACUCACACCAAGGCACCCUUGGAAAUGCAAUGCUAUAUCUCAAUGGGAUUUUCCAGUACAGAGAUUCUUUUCAAUAACAUAAUUGUGGAUACACACCACUCCUGUAGUGGUAAACCUCAGGUUCUCCUCCUGCCUUUUGCUAAGUAUAUGUCUUGAUGACAAGCCUUCUGCUAAUGAGCUGUGUUUCUGGACCGAUCAUGGUAGAAGUCAAUUGAAGUGUCCCUCACUU
rnacentral:lncRNA from 1 species